CAUAUGUUUACCAUGUAGGCAGGUAUGCUGCUGUAAAAACUGUAGCGACAAACUAAAAGUUAAACAAUGUCCAAUUUGUAGGAAAAAGAUUAAAGAAAGUAGACCUUUGUAUUUUGCCUGAACAGUUUUAGCUAUAUCUGUUGCUACUGCAGCCAAAUAUCUGAUAUAAACAUAUAGUCAUUAAUUGAUAUUAUAAAAUGUUGUAUUAUACCGUAUCAUUAAAUAAAAAUGAAUAGUAUUUCUCCUUUCUUUAAUGGAGUAUAGCUGUAAUGAUGAGGAAUCAAUCAAACAUAAAACCAGUCAAGUAACACCAAUGUAUCAGAAAUGUACCUAUAAUCAUACUCGUU
rnacentral:lncRNA from 1 species